rnacentral:lncRNA from 1 species
AAAAUUGAAAGUGGUGAGAAAAUGGAUGUUGUAAGUGAUAAUGGGAUCCAUUUUUUUAUGUUGGCAGGAUUGUCAAGGACCAAGAGUGAAUCAGGCAACACGUAAAAAAUGCUGCACCCAUGCCAUUAACAAUAAUCAGCAAAAUAUGAUGAGAAGGAAUUGGCAAAAAUCAGAAAAGGAGAAAAACUUCCGAGGACGUGGCUAGAGAGCAGCAGCAUCAAUGGAGCCUCGUUAGCUCAGGAGAAGCCUAAGAGUCUGUUUGAGGACUUAAAAGCCAUCGUGAAUUUGCUACUGCUGUUGUGAGCCGUGAAUGAUUCCGUGGGCUCAGGGCCACUAACGUCUACACAGGAAUGGGCAUCUGACAGGUCAGCAGCUUUGGGAGGAAGAGGAGUGGCAGGUCACCAGUGAGUCAACCAGCUCAGCUGUGUCCACCUUGAACCUGUUCACCUGAGACAGCCACUCAGCUUCACAGACCUCCGCUCUCAGCCAGGGAUGUCUCCCAGGUGUUGUCAUGGCAAUGCUGGAGUCAGGAGUCGCUUGCCACAACUCUGCUUUGGCUCUAAAAGCAAUCUUCACUCCCAAUCUGCGGGGGCCCAGCCUCCAGAGCUGCAUCAUUCAGGAGCAGCCAUAAAGGACCACAGUAGGUGCCGUGACUGCAGACCAGAGCCGUGGGGUCCUUGGAGGCGCUGGCUGUGAGAGGUGUGGCUCACAGCUGAAGAGACCAGAGCUGUUCUGCACGGGGAGGUGAUUCUCUGACUCGUCUAGUCAGCCAGCUGGAUUAUUGCCACACUUUUUCUGUAUUUUUCCUGCCCCUUUUCAGCUACAUCCUAGAAUUCU